rnacentral:lncRNA from 1 species
ACCUCCGUCUCUAGCGGUUCUAAGAGUUCAUCUACCUCAGUCCCCCAGGACCCUCAUACUGUAGAUGAACCCAUAUCUGGGGCUGGGCCUCAUCCGAUUUUUGCACCGGAUGCCAUUCCCUAUUCUCUGACUCCGGACGAACUUCUACUGAUAAGGGUUCAGUAUGGAGUUUCUCCGAAGUACGAUCUGGAGCUUCCUGGUCCC